rnacentral:tRNA from 1 species
UCCCUGGUGGCUCAGAUGGUAAAGCGUCUGCCUGCAAUGCAGGAGACCUGGGUUCGAUCCCUGGGUGGAGAA